AGGAGUAGGUCCGAACCGUGGAGGGCUCCAGUCUCGGCGCCCCCGCCGUCCCGGCUGGGAGGAGGGAGUCGGCAGCCGCGGGAGAACACACAGAGCGCAGGCAAGCACCUUUACCACUAAGCCAUCUCUCCAGCCCAACUCUGCUUUCCUGCCCACCCCAGCCUUCCCCACCUGAGACUCGGAAGCUCACUGAUUUCUCAAGGUAGUCCUCUUCCAGGCCUGUCCAUGGGAAGGCACUGGCCAGCCUCUACACUGCUCUCCUGUCCUUCUGGGGCCUCAACAAGGAAGUCCUUCCGCCUGUAACUGAUAGCUUGACAUACCACUUCAAGAAACCCUUUUCUACUCAAGCCACACGUGUAUUCCGUGAGCCGCUUGUGAGAGCUUUGGGUGGCUGUGUGGACGCAACAGUGCAUACAGCCCGUGGUGGGAUCUCAGCGCUUUCUGUCUCCACGCAGCUUAGUGAGCCGCUACCACUCACCCUCUCUCAGAGUUGCUACCUCUGUCAGUAAAGUUGCCUACAGGCACCAGGCAGACAAGGCAAGUGAGGGAAGCAGGCUGGAGGGACUGGAGGACCUGGAAGAGCCCCACUCUGAUCCAAAGGGGCACCUGCUCCGUUCCAGUUGGCUAUUUCCAUACUACAGUGUAUUCCAAGCUUCCACCUUUCAAGAGAAACCAGAAUUCCAGAAGUGUGUAUAAAAUCUUGUAACAGGUCACAUCUUUAGUCUCAGUGUUCAGGAAGCUGAGAUAGGAGAAUUAUUGGGAGUUCCAGUCUGGACCUACAGAGUGAGUUCCAGGGCUACAGUGAGACCCUGCCUCAAAACAACAAUAACCAAAAAAAAAAAAAAAUGUGGGCCAAAUUCUGCCCACAGGUUGCCAUCCUGGGACCUCCACCUGACCCUGUUGGGCAGUUCUUUCCAGCUAAGAGGAGACAAGGAUUAGUGACACUGCACAAAAGGAUGUGGGUCCAAAGCUGAGAGGUUCCCAUCAAGGAUACAAAGGUUCAGGAAGACCUUUCCCCUCAACCUGGAGGGAAUAAGACAGCUAAAUUCAAUGCUGGUUUCACUGUGAGCCUUUUCAGGGUCAAGACAGAGAAUUCAGUGAGCCCAAAGACAAGCAAGGACAUUGGGAGCUACAAGGAAAUCGCAAAAAUAGUGCUAAUGAGAAAUGACUCGUUUCCCAAGGGUUAGAGGUGAAAGGUUUAAAUGCACAAACUUCAGAACGAGACAAGAAUUCAGUAAGAGAGACUUUCCUAACAUGAAAACCUAUUGCCACAUAAAACAGGCCCUGGAAAGAAAAGCUAAGGGACCAGCCCAUUCCUGGAGGCAAACCCUCAGAUCCAUGCCAGGAAGGCGGCCCUGGCUCCAGCCUGGCUCACCGAUGGAAGCUGUCGACCAUCUUCAGGUGGACGCGCAGGUCCUUCUUGGUGAGGUGAUCGAGCAUGCGUGCGUCCACCAGGCACUCCAUGAAAUGGCUGCGGUACUGAGGGAGCCCCAGGCUGGGCAGCCACGCGUUCCCAAUCCACUCAUGGUUCAUGUCUCCAUAGGCGAGGGUCUGGGGACACGAGGAGAAGACCAUCGAGAGGAGGCAGUGCCAUUAGGCUGUGGCUGGCAUAUCUUGUAUCUACCCUCCACCCAUGAAGGAAGGCGGGUAGUUCAGUAACACUCCAGCUUCUUAGUCAAAGGAAGGGUAGGACUGCUUACAAUGCACUCUUCCAGACACAAAAUGGCCUGCAUAUCCAUGACCUUGUGAUGUCUGCCACUACCUACA